AGCUAUGUGAAAGGCGUUUCAAAUUUGUUUGAACCAUGGGAAUGUGUAGAUUAGAUUUUGGUUGUAAUUUGAUUUGAUCAAAUGUUGUAAAAGGGCAUAAGUCCUUCUUUACUUUAAGGUAAUUUGUUUUAUGCAAAUGUUGUAAUAAUGAGCAUAAACUCAUCCUUUACUUUGAAGUAUUUCUUUCUUGCUUUAUAUGAUAUGCAUGAAAAAUGAAGUAAUUGGGUCCAACGCCCCUAAGACAACACGCCUUAAUGUGAUUAAACGCGUAACUAAAAAUCAAUCUCCAUCCCUAGACCGAGAUUCAACACAAGGCUCGUGUUGAAUCUAAACAAAGGUUCAUAGUCAUCCUAAGGCCCUAAGGCAACUAUAUAGUCCAUCAAAUGAAUGCAAACCUUAUGUUAGUAGUAACAUAUACUCUUGCUUUAAAAAACCGUUUUAAAAGCAUAGUGGGAGUAUUAUGUACAACUAAAACAAUCAUAUGGACCAAUAGUUGUAAUAGGACCAAAAUUGUUUUAAUAGAGAUUAAAAUGUAUAUUGAUAUGUGAUGAGACCUAAAAACCCUCAACCAAACCAAUAUUAAGUUGAAAGCGUGAGAGUGCUUAGAACAUUCUUUCGUGGCCUUCCACCAUGGUAGUUCCAAUCGUUUAUGACUUGUACACCGGCUUCACCCUAUCAUGGGGAAGUACAAAGUGCAUGCUUAUACUCAGGAGGAGUCUAUAUACAUAUGAUGAGGUGAGUGUAGGCAACGAGGAUGGCCAAUAUCGUAUCAUCGUGAGGCUAUUCUUGAAACCCUUCAUGAACUAAGCUUGGUGGGAAUGACUUAACUAAGUGCAAUGGAACCAAUAUCAUAUCAUUGUGAGGUGACAUUCUCUAGAGGCCAAAUAAGAUGGGUACUUGCAUGAGUUGCAAAUGAGUAAGCGUACUCUCUCAUUAUUAUUGUUGCUAGCCAUAUAUCGUAUCAUCGUGAGGUGGGCUUGGUAAUAGUGAGCCUCCCAUAACCUACUAGGAGUUUCAUCCAAAACUCUCGAAUUCCUAUGAGGGAUAUGGAAUUUGCCAAAAAUAGUGGGUGGUGCUAUUUGAUUUAAAGACCCAAAUCAAAUGGCUUAAAAUCAAUCAAUUUAUAUUCGUUAUGUAUUUGAUUACCAAUAUAUUUGCAAACGCUAUCCAACACUUG
rnacentral:lncRNA from 1 species